UACGGAGGAGGCGAGCGUUAUCCGGAAUUAUUGGGCGUAAAGCGUCCGCAGGUGGCACUUCAAGUCUGUCGUCAAAGACUGGGGCUUAACCCUGGUAAGGCGGUGGAAACUGAAGCGCUAGAGUGCGGUAGGGGUAGAGGGAAUUCCCGGUGUAGCGGUGAAAUGCGUAGAGAUCGGGAAGAACAUCGGUGGCGAAAGCGCUCUACUGGACCGCAACUGACACUCAGGGACGAAAGCUAGGGGAGCGAAUGGG
rnacentral:rRNA from 1 species